rnacentral:tRNA from 1 species
UGUCCAUUGGUGUAAUGGUAGCACAUCUGACUCUGGAUCAGCCAGUCGAGGUUCGAGUCCUCGAUGGACAA